UCCCUGGUGGUCUAGCAGGUAGGAUUCAGCACUUUCAUUACUGGGGCCUGGGUUUAACCCCUGGUCUGGGAA
rnacentral:tRNA from 1 species